AGUGAACGCUGGCGGCGUGCCUAAUACAUGCAAGUCGAACGGAGUGGCGCACGGGUGAGUAAUAUAUAGCUACUCUGCCCCUUGCUGGAGGACAACAGUUAGAAAUGACUGCUAAUACUCCAUAGGAAGUGAUGCGACUAUAUCGUAUCAGCUAGUCGGUGGGGUAACGGCCUACCGAGGCUAUGACGAGUAACUGGUCUGAGAGGAUUAACAGUAACAUGGAAACGGAGACACGUGCCAAACACCAACGGGAGGCAGCAGUAGGGAAGAAUGCGCUAUGGGGGAAACCCUGACGCAGCAUCGCCGCGUGGGGGAUGACACUUUUCGGAGCGUAAACUCCUUUUGGUAGGGAAGCGUUACCUAACGAAUAAGCACCGGCUAACUCCGUGCCAGCAGCCGCGGUAAUAC
rnacentral:rRNA from 1 species